UGUCAGAAGUGGGAUUCGAACCCACGCCUUUAUUGUAGACUGCAACCUGAACGUAGCGUCUUAUACAGAUCGGCCAUUCUGAC